rnacentral:rRNA from 1 species
AGCGAACGCUGGCGGCAGGCCUAACACAUGCAAGUCGAACGAACCCUUCGGGGUUAGUGGCGGACGGGUGAGUAACACGUGGGAACGUGCCUUUAGGUUCGGAAUAACUCAGGGAAACUUGUGCUAAUACCGAAUGUGCCCUUCGGGGGAAAGAUUUAUCGCCUUUAGAGCGGCCCGCGUCUGAUUGGCUAGUUGGUGAGGUAAUGGCUCACCAAGGCUACGAUCAGUAGCUGGUCUGAGAGGAUGACCAGCCACAUUGGGACUGAGACAUGGCCCAAACUCCUACGGGAGGCAGCAGUGGGGAAUCUUGCGCAAUGGGCGAAAGCCUGACGCAGCCAUGCCGCGUGGAUGAUGAAGGUCUUAGGAUUGUAAAAUCCUUUCACCGGUGAAGAUAAUGACUGUAGCCGGAGAAGAAGCCCCGGCUAACUUCGUGCCAGCCGCCGCAGUAAGAC